rnacentral:sRNA from 1 species
CUUGGUCAUUUAGAGGAAGUAAAAGUCGUAACAAGGUCUCCGUUGGUGAACCAGCGGAGGGAUCAUUACCGAGUUUACAACUCCCAAACCCCUGUGAACAUACCUUAAUGUUGCCUCGGCGGAUCAGCCCGCGCCCCGUAAAACGGGACGGCCCGCCAGAGGACCCAAACUCUAAUGUUUCUUAUUGUAACUUCUGAGUAAAACAAACAAAUAAAUCAAAACUUUCAACAACGGAUCUCUUGGUUCUGGCAUCGAUGAAGAACGCAGCAAAAUGCGAUAAGUAAUGUGAAUUGCAGAAUUCAGUGAAUCAUCGAAUCUUUGAACGCACAUUGCGCCCGCUGGUAUUCCGGCGGGCAUGCCUGUUCGAGCGUCAUUUCAACCCUCAAGCCCCCGGGUUUGGUGUUGGGGAUCGGCUCUGCCUUCUGGCGGUGCCGCCCCCGAAAUACAUUGGCGGUCUCGCUGCAGCCUCCAUUGCGUAGUAGCUAACACCUCGCAACUGGAACGCGGCGCGGCCAUGCCGUAAAACCCCAACUUCUGAAUGUUGACCUCGGAUCAGGUAGGAAUACCCGCUG